rnacentral:rRNA from 1 species
UACGUAGGGUGCAAGCGUUGUCCGGAAUUAUUGGGCGUAAAGAGCUCGUAGGCGGUUUGUCGCGUCGAAUGUGAAAACCCGGGGCUCAACUCCGGGCCUGCAUUCGAUACGGGCAGACUAGAGUUCGGUAGGGGAGACUGGAAUUCCUGGUGUAGCGGUGAAAUGCGCAGAUAUCAGGAGGAACACCGGUGGCGAAGGCGGGUCUCUGGGCCGAUACUGACGCUGAGACGCGAAAGCGUGGGGAGCAAACAGG